ensembl:lncRNA
AGCGGACACCCCGAAAGCAGCGGCAGCGGCGGGAAGGGGCUCCAAGGAGCAAAGAAUGGCGGCGAGGCGCUGCCGGGAGCAGCAGAAGGCAGCGAGGAGAAGCCGUGAAGCUGCAGAGCGGCGGAGUUGUCUUUUUUCCUUCCCAGGCUGGAAUCUUCCUUCCGCCUUGCUGUGCUGUGGGGAGCAGCUGGAGGCGAUUCUCUUGCAUGAGCGAGGGGUGCAGCCUGGUUCCACCCGGCCCUGAGCUCACGGAAGGGCUGGCUGCCCGCAGGGAAGGAGCUCUGCUUGAGGUCUGCUCCUGGGUGGGCUUUUGUGUGCCCUGUUCCUCAGGAAGGGGUAAGCAGUGCUGGGGUUAUUUGCUAGAUGGAGUGCGUUUGUGUUUCUUGGCUUCCUGAAAGCUGUGUCUGUCUUUUUCACUGCCGGCUGGAGAGACUCGGGGGAGAAAGCGUUGUGCUUGAUGGCACGGUUUCCUUGGGCAAAGGAUGCUUUGGCAGCAGAGGUUUGCUGUCAGGAGGCAUGAAAGCACUGAAGCCAAUGCUGCCGUGCCCUGGGCCCAGAGACAUCAGCUCCCAGCACGUCCCUGGCGGUGGAUGUGUGCAAGCUCUGUGUCUGCCGGUGGUUGCUCCAAAGGCUUUGUGGUCAGCUGUGCGUGGCUGUUUUGCUCUUGAGGGCGUGGGAACAGAGGGCAACACGCUGAUGGGAGUGAUGGUGUCCUGCUCAGCAAAGGAUGUGCUGGGUGGCAGAAGAGGAUUCUUGGCCGAGCGUGGAAAAUCUCUCUGCUCCUUCCUGAAGCUGAGAUUAAGGAGACAUGACAAAGUUGUGCAAAUGUUCCUGGACGUUCCUAGUUCUUCAAUUGCCUAAAGGAACACAAGCAAUGCAGAGAAAGAAAGAAAGAACGAAAGAAAAAGA